UCUCCAGACUCCUACGGGAGGCAGCAGUGAGGAAUAUUGGUCAAUGGCCGAGAGGCUGAACCAGCCAAGUCGCGUGAGGGAGGACGGCCCUACGGGUUGUAAACCUCUUUUGUCAGGGAGCAAGGGACAGGUCGUGACCUGUUGUGAGAGUACCUGAAGAAAAAGCAUCGGCUAACUCCGUGCCAGCAGCCGCGGUAAUACGGAGGAUGCGAGCGUUAUCCGGAUUUAUUGGGUUUAAAGGGUGCGCAGGCGGAUUUUUAAGUCAGCGGUAAAAUCGUGGGGCUCAACCCCAUCCAGCCGUUGAAACUGGGGAUCUAGAGUGUGCGAGAGGUAUGCGGAAUGCGUGGUGUAGCGGUGAAAUGCAUAGAUAUCACGCAGAACCCCGAUUGCGAAGGCAGCAUACCGGUGCACAACUGACGCUCAGGCACGAAAGCGUGGGUAUCGAACAGGAUUAGAUACCCCCGUA
rnacentral:rRNA from 1 species